AGCUAAUGCCCUUAUCUGAUAAGGGGCACCUGGGCUGGAGUGUCAGUGGCUUGAUGAACUGUUUAUAAAGCUUCCCACCUGACUUACUAUUUGUCUGAGCCACUGUCUGUGCAGCUGGGCUAAGGCCUGGCUGAGGAUGAGCAGUGGCUGCACCAGCACAGAGUGGACAUUUCUUCCUGUUCAUUUCUUCCAAACCAAAGGGUCUGUGGCCCAGGCAGGGCCGACUCAGCCACCCUCAGCAUCUGAAGGUUCUGAACAAACGCCACAGCUGUCUGCACUGAGGACAGCAGCAACACUGACAACGUUGACAGCCAAGGCCAAUACGACACAUUAUUCACAUGUACACGCUAGUCGUGAAUCCAAUGAGGUGAAGGUGGAAGAAAGCAUUUAGAAACCCGAAUACUUACCAGAGUCACACCUUCAGAUGGAACACCGGCACUACCUGCAACACAGAAACAAAGCUUUAUGAGGGGUGACUCUCAUCUGCUGGGCUGGAGCUGGCCUGACAUAAAAGAGGACACACAGCAUACCACACACAGCUGCUGCGUGCCCCACUCCUGUCAACAUGGCAUACCACGGAGCUGCUGUGUGCCAUACUCCUGUGCACAUGGCAUACCACGGAGCUGCUGCAUACCCCACUCCUGGGCACAUUCUUGCCUUGCUUCUGCUUUCCCAGCUCUGACAAUCCUAAUUCUGGCUUCCAAACCAAUCCUGUACAUCCCUCUCAGUUCUCAAAUGUUGGAUAUUUUAAUCACUGUUGUAAUGACCAUGACUGAACUGUGACAUUUCAUAUACCAUAGUAUAUGUUUAUCUUUUUAUAUAUUUCUUGAUAAAAUUUAACUUAUUUUUUUCAGACUUUUAGGAACAUUUCUGGGCUAAAUGUGCUGGCCCACAGCUAUAAUCCUGAUAUUUUUAGAGGCUAAGGCAGGAGGAUUGCUUAAGGUCAGAAGUUUAAGAUCAACCUGGGCAACACAGUGAGACCUCGUCUCUACAAAAAAUCUUCUAAAUGUCACCAGAUGUGGUGGUGAGCCCUGGUAUCCCUAGCUACAUGGAAGCCUGUUGUGGGAAGAUCAUUUGAGCCUAGAAAAGUGAGGCUGCAGUGAGCUAUGAUCACGCCACUGUACUCCAGCCUGGGUGACAUAGCAAGACCCUGUCUCUUCAAAAUAAAAAGCAUUACUGUGUUACAAGUAUCCCCAUUUUAUUUCUCAUUAUCUAAUAUUGCUGUGUUCAUCCUGAGGCUUAAUUGCUUUAGUAAACUAAAAAAAAGUUUUUUAGACAAGGUAGUAUUUAAAGCAGGCCAUAUGCACGCCUUUUUAUAAAUUCUAGUUUUAUAUGCCAUAUAUCUAGAAUUUACAUUCUUGAUCUACUCAGUCUUCUUCUUAGAACCAGCCUCCUCAUAUGUAACACAAGUAUAAUUCCCAUAUUACACCUAACUCAAAACAUUGAGAGGAUAGAAUAAAAUCAAACAGCAGUCUGUAUACUACACAAGGCACAAUAGAUUACAAACCAAAGCUUUCUCUAACUCAAAGGCGAAAAAUGCACAGUUAACAUCCUUUGCAGAACCCAUAGCAAAAUAAUAUUUUGAGAAAAUAUGCACUUUGGCUACCCAGUGAAGUUAGGAGAAAGCUGUCACAGGUCAUCAUCAAGACUUCCCCAACGUUGUCUUUUAUUUUUAAAUAAUGAAAUACACAUUAUUUCCCAUGCUUUCUUUCAUGUAUAUUACCGCAUGUUCUCCUUUUGGCUUUUCUGCAUACCCUAUCUUGGGAGUCAAUAAAAAGACAUCUUACUCGUUUUCACAGCUCCAUACUUCUCCUUUCUGUAGAAGUACCAGCUUUUUUUUUUUUUUUUUUUUGGAGACGAAGUUUCACUCUUGUUACCCAGGCUGGAGUGCAAUGGCACGAUCUCAGCUCACCACAACCUCUGCCUCCUGAGUUUAGGCAAUUCUCCUGCCUCAGCCUCCUGAGUAGCUGGGAUUACAGGCACGUGCUACCAUGCCCAGCUAAUUUUUUGAUUUUUAGUAGAGACGGGGUUUCACCAUGUUGACCAGGAUGCUCUUGAUCUCUUGACCUCGUGAUCCACCCGCCUCAGCCUCCCUAAGUGCUGGGAUUACAGGCGUGAGCCACCACGCCCGGCCCCAGCUUAUUUUACUAGUCCCUUACUAGGCAUGUCAGUUAUUUCCAAUAUUUAACUAUUGAAAAUAAUGCAACAAGAACUUUGCACAUAGUUUGUUUUAUAUUUAUGGAGCAUACCUUCAGGAUAAAAUUCCUCAAAGUAGGAUGUCUGGUUCAAAUGCAGUUGUGAGAUUGUGCCAAAUUCCCCUUCAUGGAGUUGAGCCUUUUUGCAUUUCCACCAGCAAUAUAUGAAUGCAACUUUCCUUACAGCCACACCAAAGAACAUUUUGCCAUGGUUUUGGGAUUUCCCUCAAUGGAAGAGACCCUGCAGUAGAGCUGUCAUUUGCCUUUCUUUUAUGAGUAAAGAUGUGUUUAAAAAUCACCUGCAUUUCUUUUUCUGUGACUUGUCUAUUUACCACUUUAUUAUCUACGUUUAGUUUCACUUGAUUUUUCUCAAGUCAGCCUCUUUCAGGUCAUUGUUGUUUUUCUCUUUACUGUCGUCUCUUACCUGAACUACUCCACCAGUCUCCUAGUUGCUCUUCCUGCUUUCACCCUUGCCUGUAUUACAGUAUAUUCACACAGAGCUGCUACUCAGUCUUUUUCUUAGAGAAUUAACAGUAAUCCUGGGCUAUAAUCCUCCAGUGGUUUUCCAUCUCAACUGAAGUCCAUCUUCUCUGUGAGUGCUCACUACGUGUACAAGGCCUUCACCCACCUUAUUCAUCCCAGCAUCCUUUUACUCUGCUGCAGCCACCCUUGUGCCUUUCUGUCCUUUGCCUAAAACUUUGUUUCCAAGUUUCAAAUUGAAACUUUGUUUCAAUUUCAGGAAUUCUAAAGCGGAUAUCCCUCUCUGGAAGCCUUCUCCCAUCAUCCUCACAGGGUUCCCCUCACUUUUUUAUUUUUAAAAAUAAAUAAGAUGGGGUGUCUCUGUGUUGGCCAGGCUGGUCUUAAACUUCCAGCCUCAAGGAAUCCCCUCAUCCUAGCUUUCCAAAGUGCUGGGAUUAAAGGUGGGAGCCACUAUACCCAGUCCAUUUCACUUUUAAGACUGUUCACAUGUCACUUAAAGAGAACAUCCAGCUCUUAGCGCCAACUCUCCAUAAAACUGCCCUCCUCUUUAAUUCAUUACCCUGCUUUACUUUCUUCCCAGCACAUCACCACCUGCCAUUCUUGACUAUUCAUGUGCUGGCUGCCCUUACUUCCCUAUCGAAUGUAAGGGUCAGUCUUAGAAUGGGGCUCUCUGUUGUGUUCCACUGUUCACCCUGCAUCUGCAACACUGCCAGGCCAUUUAAAACUGCCCAAUACAUAUAUUUCAUUUUACCCCAAACUAGUUAAGUUUCUCCCAAUUCUCCCAGAUCUGCUAAAGUUGUCUUUUUUUUUAUCACCUAAGACAGCAUCAGAUUUUUUAAACUGGUAGCUAUUUAGAAUUAAAGACACAAGCUAUCAAGAUCCACAAAAAUAUAAAUGAAGAAUGUUAAUGUCUAUUUAAAAGUCAACGGUAACUGCAGUUUGACACAAGUAUAUUUAAUACUAAAAUACCUUAAAUACAAAGUGACUCAUUUCAUCGGUUUAAUUAUGUCACUAAACAAAAUAUAUUAACGAGAUAUCACGCAUCUGUUAUCAAAAUGUGCUUUAUGUGUGUUCUGAAUCAAACAUGACAGGAUUGUUUCUGACUUUAUGAAAAAAGAUGGCCAAUUGCAAAGGGUAGGUAAAUAAAUAGUGCUUUAACCAGUCCGUAGUAUACUAAGCAGUUAUUCAAAGUCAUCAGGUACAGCAGGGUGCCCUGGCAGGCAAAGACAUCCUAGAGUGCUCUCUAGGUGUCAAGUACUGUUUGAGAAACUUACGCCAUUAUUUCACUGCUUUAAGUAAAAGUU